UUAAGUGAAUAAGGGCGCACGGUGGAUGCCUUGGCACUAGGAGCCGAUGAAGGACGGGACUAACACCGAUAUGCUUUGGGGAGCUGUAAGUAAGCUAUGAUCCAGAGAUUUCCGAAUGGGGGAACCCAAUAUCUUUUAUAGGAUAUUACUUUUCAGUGAAUACAUAGCUGAUUAGAGGUAGACGCAGAGAACUGAAACAUCUUAGUACCUGCAGGAAGAGAAAGAAAAUUCGAUUCCCUGAGUAGCGGCGAGCGAAACGGGAAGAGCCCAAACCAACAAGCUUGCUUGUUGGGGUUGUAGGACUCCAAUAUGGUAGUCUGUUAGUAUAGUUGAAGGAUUUGGAAAAUUCCGCUAAAGAGGGUGAAAGCCCCGUAGACGAAAUGCUGACAACACCUAGGAGGAUCCUGAGUACGGCGGAACACGAGAAAUUCCGUCGGAAUCCGCGGGGACCAUCCCGCAAGGCUAAAUACUCCCUAGUGACCGAUAGUGAACCAGUACCGUGAGGGAAAGGUGAAAAGCACCCCGGAAGGGGAGUGAAAUAGAUCCUGAAACCGUGUGCCUACAACAAGUCAAAGCUCGUUAAUGAGUGAUGGCGUGCCUUUUGUAGAAUGAACCGGCGAGUUACGAUUGCAUGCGAGGUUAAGUCGAAGAGACGGAGCCGCAGCGAAAGCGAGUCUGAAUAGGGCGAAUGAGUAUGUAGUCGUAGACCCGAAACCAUGUGAUCUACCCAUGUCCAGGUUGAAGGUGCGGUAAAACGCACUGGAGGACCGAACCCACGUACGUUGAAAAGUGCGGGGAUGAGGUGUGGGUAGCGGAGAAAUUCCAAACGAACUUGGAGAUAGCUGGUUCUCUCCGAAAUAGCUUUAGGGCUAGCCUCGGAAUUGAGAAUGAUGGAGGUAGAGCACUGUUUGGACUAGGGGCCCAUCUCGGGUUACCGAAUUCAGAUAAACUCCGAAUGCCAUUCAUUUAUAUCCGGGAGUCAGACUGCGAGUGAUAAGAUCCGUAGUCGAAAGGGAAACAGCCCAGACCACCAGCUAAGGUCCCAAAAUAUAUGUUAAGUGGAAAAGGAUGUGGGGUUGCACAGACAACUAGGAUGUUGGCUUAGAAGCAGCCACCAUUUAAAGAGUGCGUAAUAGCUCACUAGUCGAGUGACCCUGCGCCGAAAAUGUACCGGGGCUAAACAUAUUACCGAAGCUGUGGACUACACCAUUAGGUGUAGUGGUAGGAGAGCGUUCUAAGGGCGUUGAAGGUCGAUCGUGAGGACGGCUGGAGCGCUUAGAAGUGAGAAUGCCGGUAUGAGUAGCGAAAGACAGGUGAGAAUCCUGUCCACCGUAUGACUAAGGUUUCCUGGGGAAGGCUCGUCCGCCCAGGGUUAGUCGGGACCUAAGCCGAGGCCGAUAGGCGUAGGCGAUGGACAACAGGUUGAUAUUCCUGUACCAGUUGUUUUUGUUUGAGCAAUGGAGGGACGCAGUAGGCUAAGGAAUGCAUGCGAUUGGAAGUGCAUGUCCAAGCAAUGAGUCUUGAGUAGAGUUAAAUGCUUUACUCUCUAAGGACAAGUUGUGACGGGGAGCGAAAUAAUAGUAGCGAAGUUCCUGAUGUCACACUGCCAAGAAAAGCUUCUAGUGAGAAAACAACUGCCCGUACCGUAAACCGACACAGGUAGUCGAGGAGAGUAUCCUAAGGUGAGCGAGCGAACUCUCGUUAAGGAACUCGGCAAAAUGACCCCGUAACUUCGGGAGAAGGGGUGCUGACUUCGGUCAGCCGCAGUGAAUAGGCCCAAGCGACUGUUUAUCAAAAACACAGGUCUCUGCAAAAUCGUAAGAUGAAGUAUAGGGGCUGACGCCUGCCCGGUGCUGGAAGGUUAAGAGGAUGGGUUAGCUUCGGCGAAGCUCAGAAUUGAAGCCCCAGUAAACGGCGGCCGUAACUAUAACGGUCCUAAGGUAGCGAAAUUCCUUGUCGGGUAAGUUCCGACCCGCACGAAAGGCGUAACGAUUUGGGCACUGUCUCAACGAGAGACUCGGUGAAAUUUUAGUACCUGUGAAGAUGCAGGUUACCCGCGACAGGACGGAAAGACCCCAUGGAGCUUUACUGUAGUUUGAUAUUGAGUGUUUGUACCACAUGUACAGGAUAGGUAGGAGCCGAUGAGACCGGAACGCUAGUUUCGGAGGAGGCGCUGGUGGGAUACUACCCUUGUGUUAUGAACCCUCUAACCCGCACCACUAAUCGUGGUGGGAGACAGUGUCAGAUGGGCAGUUUGACUGGGGCGGUCGCCUCCUAAAAGGUAACGGAGGCGCCCAAAGGUUCCCUCAGAAUGGUUGGAAAUCAUUCGAAGAGUGUAAAGGCAGAAGGGAGCUUGACUGCGAGACCUACAAGUCGAGCAGGGACGAAAGUCGGGCUUAGUGAUCCGGUGGUUCCGCAUGGAAGGGCCAUCGCUCAACGGAUAAAAGCUACCCUGGGGAUAACAGGCUUAUCUCCCCCAAGAGUCCACAUCGACGGGGAGGUUUGGCACCUCGAUGUCGGCUCGUCGCAUCCUGGGGCUGUAGUCGGUCCCAAGGGUUGGGCUGUUCGCCCAUUAAAGCGG
rnacentral:rRNA from 1 species